rnacentral:rRNA from 1 species
CAGCCGCCGCGGGAAUACGAAGGGUGCAAGCGUUAAUCGGAAUUACUGGGCGUAAAGCGUGCGUAGGCGGUGAGUUAAGUCUGCUGUGAAAUCCCCGGGCUCAACCUGGGAAUGGCAGUGGAUACUGGCUCGCUAGAGUGUGUCAGAGGAUGGUGGAAUUCCCGGUGUAGCGGUGAAAUGCGUAGAGAUCGGGAGGAACAUCAGUGGCGAAGGCGGCCAUCUGGGACAACACUGACGCUGAGGCACGAAAGCGUGGGGAGCAAACAGGAUUAGAUACCCCCGUAGUCCCUGUCUCUAUACC